rnacentral:rRNA from 1 species
AACGAACGCUGGCGGCAUGCCUAACACAUGCAAGUCGAACGAGACCUUCGGGUCUAGUGGCGCACGGGUGCGUAACGCGUGGGAACCUGCCCUUAGGUUCGGAAUAACUCCCCGAAAGGGGUGCUAAUACCGGAUAAUGUCUUCGGACCAAAGAUUUAUCGCCUUUGGAUGGGCCCGCGUUGGAUUAGCUAGUUGGUAGGGUAAAAGCCUACCAAGGCGACGAUCCAUAGCUUGUAUGAGAGGAUGAUCAGCCACACUGGGACUGAGACAAGGCCCAGACUCCUACGGGAGGCAGCAGUGGGGAAUAUUGGACAAUGGGCGAAGCCUGAUCAAGCAAUGCCGCGUGAGUGAUGAAGGCCUUAGGGUUGUAAAGCUCUUUUACCCGGGAUGAUAAUGACAGUACCGGGAGAAUAAGCUCCGGCUAACUCCGUG